rnacentral:rRNA from 1 species
ACACUAUCAUUAACUGAAUCCAUAGGUUAAUGAGGCGAACCGGGGGAACUGAAACAUCUAAGUACCCCGAGGAAAAGAAAUCAACCGAGAUUCCCCCAGUAGCGGCGAGCGAACGGGGAGCAGCCCAGAGCCUGAAUCAGUAUGUGUGUUAGUGGAAGCGUCUGGAAAGGCGCGCGAUACAGGGUGACAGCCCCGUACACAAAAAUGCACAUGCUGUGAGCUCGAUGAGUAGGGCGGGACACGUGGUAUCCUGUCUGAAUAUGGGGGGACCAUCCUCCAAGGCUAAAUACUCCUGACUGACCGAUAGUGAACCAGUACCGUGAGGGAAAGGCGAAAAGAACCCCGGCGAGGGGAGUGAAAAAGAACCUGAAACCGUGUACGUACAAGCAGUGGGAGCACGCUUAGGCGUGUGACUGCGUACCUUUUGUAUAAUGGGUCAGCGACUUAUAUUCUGUAGCAAGGUUAACCGAAUAGGGGAGCCGAAGGGAAACCGAGUCUUAACUGGGCGUUAAGUUGCAGGGUAUAGACCCGAAACCCGGUGAUCUAGCCAUGGGCAGGUUGAAGGUUGGGUAACACUAACUGGAGGACCGAACCGACUAAUGUUGAAAAAUUAGCGGAUGACUUGUGGCUGGGGGUGAAAGGCCAAUCAAACCGGGAGAUAGCUGGUUCUCCCCGAAAGCUAUUUAGGUAGCGCCUCGUGAAUUCAUCUCCGGGGGUAGAGCACUGUUUCGGCAAGGGGGUCAUCCCGACUUACCAACCCGAUGCAAACUGCGAAUACCGGAGAAUGUUAUCACGGGAGACACACGGCGGGUGCUAACGUCCGUCGUGAAGAGGGAAACAACCCAGACCGCCAGCUAAGGUCCCAAAGUCAUGGUUAAGUGGGAAACGAUGUGGGAAGGCCCAGACAGCCAGGAUGUUGGCUUAGAAGCAGCCAUCAUUUAAAGAAAGCGUAAUAGCUCACUGGUCGAGUCGGCCUGCGCGGAAGAUGUAACGGGGCUAAACCAUGCACCGAAGCUGCGGCAGCGACGCUGAUGCGUUGUUGGGUAGGGGAGCGUUCUGUAAGCCUGYGAAGGUGUGCUGUGAGGCAUGCUGGAGGUAUCAGAAGUGCGAAUGCUGACAUAAGUAACGAUAAAGCGGGUGAAAAGCCCGCUCGCCGGAAGACCAAGGGUUCCUGUCCAACGUUAAUCGGGGCAGGGUGAGUCGACCCCUAAGGCGAGGCCGAAAGGCGUAGUCGAUGGGAAACAGGUUAAUAUUCCUGUACUUGGUGUUACUGCGAAGGGGGGACGGAGAAGGCUAUGUUGGCCGGGCGACGGUUGUCCCGGUUUAAGCGUGUAGGCUGGUUUUCCAGGCAAAUCCGGAAAAUCAAGGCUGAGGCGUGAUGACGAGGCACUACGGUGCUGAAGCAACAAAUGCCCUGCUUCCAGGAAAAGCCUCUAAGCAUCAGGUAACAUCAAAUCGUACCCCAAACCGACACAGGUGGUCAGGUAGAGAAUACCAAGGCGCUUGAGAGAACUCGGGUGAAGGAACUAGGCAAAAUGGUGCCGUAACUUCGGGAGAAGGCACGCUGAUAUGUAGGUGAAGUCCCUCGCGGAUGGAGCUGAAAUCAGUCGAAGAUACCAGCUGGCUGCAACUGUUUAUUAAAAACACAGCACUGUGCAAACACGAAAGUGGACGUAUACGGUGUGACGCCUGCCCGGUGCCGGAAGGUUAAUUGAUGGGGUUAGCGCAAGCGAAGCUCUUGAUCGAAGCCCCGGUAAACGGCGGCCGUAACUAUAACGGUCCUAAGGUAGCGAAAUUCCUUGUCGGGUAAGUUCCGACCUGCACGAAUGGCGUAAUGAUGGCCAGGCUGUCUCCACCCGAGACUCAGUGAAAUUGAACUCGCUGUGAAGAUGCAGUGUACCCGCGGCAAGACGGAAAGACCCCGUGAACCUUUACUAUAGCUUGACACUGAACAUUGAGCCUUGAUGUGUAGGAUAGGUGGGAGGCUUUGAAGUGUGGACGCCAGUCUGCAUGGAGCCGACCUUGAAAUACCACCCUUUAAUGUUUGAUGUUCUAACGUUGACCCGUAAUCCGGGUUGCGGACAGUGUCUGGUGGGUAGUUUGACUGGGGCGGUCUCCUCCUAAAGAGUAACGGAGGAGCACGAAGGUUGGCUAAUCCUGGUCGGACAUCAGGAGGUUAGUGCAAUGGCAUAAGCCAGCUUGACUGCGAGCGUGACGGCGCGAGCAGGUGCGAAAGCAGGUCAUAGUGAUCCGGUGGUUCUGAAUGGAAGGGCCAUCGCUCAACGGAUAAAAGGUAAGGGGGGCUGCUCCUAGUACGAGAGGACCGGAGUGGACGCAUCACUGGUGUUCGGGUUGUCAUGCCAAUGGCACUGCCCGGUAGCUAAAUGCGGAAGAGAUAAGUGCUGAAAGCAUCUAAGCACGAAACUUGCCCCGAGAUGAGUUCUCCCUGACUCCUUGAGAGUCCUGAAGGAACGUUGAAGACGACGACGUUGAUAGGCCGGGUGUGUAAGCGCAGCGAUGCGUUGAGCUAACCGGUACUAAUGAACCGUGAGGCUUAACCUU